GAAGCAGCCGGGCACCUGGCCGCGUGCGGCCGGAGGCUGCGAGCGCCCGGGAUUGAGGUGCAAUCUCUAGGUUGGACCCUGGGCCACCUAUCCAAGCCCCCUGAUAUCUGUGGUCCUCCAUCCAUCUGGGCCAGUGACCCGCUGCUCAGGGUGCUGUUCACACUUGUUCCUUGGCACCCUGGGACGUGUGGCGUUUGUGGAGAAUUCCGCCAGUAGACACCUCGGUCUUCUGAUCCUCCGCGGCGGCUUCGGUGACCAAAGACUGAUAGGAAUGGGUGAAUAGGGAGUGGCUUCGAAAUCACCAACAGGCAACAUUCCCUAGGAGCAAAGUCUAGGAGCCUGGGUUCCACUGCAGGACGUCACACCAUGAAAAAUACCUGACUUCUAAAGGAGGCAGGUUGCAGCCUGCCUGGCCUGCAACAGGCCUGAUAAUGAACCAGUGUUCUUUCAACUUCGGAACCAUGCUCUGCAUUCAGGUGCUGGUGACACUGUAAGUAGAAAGGAUAAGGGAACCACGUGGAUGGCAAUAGACAGUGAACAGAACGAUGGGCUCAAAUCCACUCACCUGGCUGCUCUGUGAAGUUCUCUGCCUAUAAGCCCAGCUGAAGGUGUCCUUGGUGUGACCUUCAGCCCUGAUGGUGUUUUGGAGAGUGGCAGACCAAAGCCAGAGCACGGAGCUGGACCCAUUGAUAGCAAGAGUGGCCUACGACUCCCUAGUGUACUUCUCCUCCUUAAACUGGUACCUUUUCCUCUGAAGAGCUCUUCUAUCCUGGGCCAACCCAUCUACUUCCUCAGUCCUGUGCUGUUGUCUCUGAAAUGCCCAUAUUAUUGCAAAGAAACUGCAAAUUACCAUGAUAAAUACUGGAAGCAGGGAGUCACAGGAUAACUCUAAUUUUAGUUGGAGAUGUAAUAGUAAUAAUUAUACUAUUUUAAACAUGCUUUACACACUAACUCGGUG
rnacentral:lncRNA from 1 species